AGGGCUCCAUAUGACUCCACAUUGACGUGAUUGGUCGACGGUAGGUGGGAGGGCGGGAAGUCUUGUGUAAACACAAAUUCACUUCCUCGACAACUUCCUUGACAACAGCUCUGUGCAUACUCUGCGAAACACAGGAAGUAUUAAUGGCCCUGACUUCUGCAGAGGCCGUAUGAUUGUAAACGCUGCAAAGUCAACGCAGACGUCGGAUUAUAUAAGGACUAGUUACCAUGAAGAGUAUCAGAUCCUGGUCAGUAGAGGUCAUCUGUGGUCUAUAUAAGGACUAGUAACCAUAGAGAGUAACAUAUCCUGGCCAGUAGAGGUCAUCUGUGGUCUAUAUAAGGACUAGUAACUAUACAGAUCCUGGUCAGUAGAGGUCAUCUGUGGUCUAUAUGAGGACUAGUUACCAUAGAGAGUAACAGAUCCUGGUCAGUAGAGGUCAUUUCUGGUCUAUAUAAGGACUAUUUACCAUACAGAGUAACAGAUCCUGGUCAGUAGAGGCCAUGUGUGGUCUAUAUAAGGACUAGUAACCAUAGAGUAACAGAUCCUGGUCAGUAGAGGUCAUAUGUGGUCUAUAUAAGGACUAGUUACCAUACAGAGUAACAGAUCCUGGUCAGUAGUGGUCAUCUGUGGUCUAUAUAAGGACUAGUAACUAUACAGAACCUGGUUAGUAGAGGUCAUCUGUGGUCUAUAUAAGGACUAGUAACCAUGCAGAGUAACAGAUCCUGGUCAGUAGAGGUCAUCUGUGGUCUAUAUAAGGACUAGUAACCAUACAGAUCCUGGUCAGUAGAGGUCAUCUGUGGUCUAUAUAAGGACUUGUAACCAUACAGAGUAACAGAUCCUGGUCAGUAGAGGUCAUCUGUGGUCUAUAUAAGGACUAGUAACCAUACAGAUCCUGGUCAGUAGAGGUCAUCUGUGGUCUAUAUGAGGACUAGUUACCAUACAGAGUAACAGAUCCUGGUCAGUAUAGGUCAUCUGUGGUCUAUAUAAGGACUAGUAACCAUACAGAUCCUGGUCAGUAGAGGUCAUCUGUGGUCUAUAUAAGGACUAGUUACCAUAAAGAGUAUCAGAUCCUGGUCAGUAGAGGUCAUCUGUGGUCUAUAUAAGGACUAGUUACCAUGCAGAGUAUCAGAUCCUGGUCAGUAGAGGUCAUCUGUGGUCUGUAUAAGGACUAGUUACCAUAAAGAGUAUCAGAUCCUGUUCAGUAGAGGUCAUCUGUGGUCUAUAUAAGGACUAGUUACCAUACAUAGUAACAGAUCCUGGUCAGUAGAGGUCAUCUGUGGUCUAUAUAAAAACUAGUAACCAUAGAGUAACAGAUCCUGGUCAGUAGAGGUCAUCCGUGGUCUAAAUAAGGACUAGUUACCAUACAGAUCCUGGUCAGUAGAGGUCAUCUGUGGUCUAUAUAAGGACUAGUAACCAUACAGAGUAACAGAUCCUGGUCAGUAGAGGUCAUCUGUGGUCUAUAUAAGGACUAGUUACCAUACAGAUCCUUUCUAGGCAGGGAAAGGAGGAACGGAGCGAGAGGGUAGCUGUACUCUCUGACCUCAUUCUGUUUCUAGGCAGGGAAAGGAGGAACGGAGAGAGAGGGUCACUGUACUGUCUGACCUCAUUCUGUUUCUAGGCAGGGAAAGGAGGAACGGAGAGAGAGGGUAGAUGUACUGUCUGACCUCAUUCUGUUUCAAGGCAGGAAAAGGAGGAACGGAGAGAGAGGGUCGCUGUACUGUCUGACCUCAUUCUGUUUCUAGGCAGGGAAAGGAGGAAGUGAGAGAGAGGGUAGCUGUACUGUCUGACCUCAUUCUGUUUCUAGGCAGGGAAAGGAGGAACGGA